CCUACGGGAGGCAGCAGUGGGGAAUAUUGCACAAUGGGGGAAACCCUGCUGCGGCUGCGCGUCGUGAGUGAUGAAGUAUUUCGGUAUGUAAAGCUCUGUCAGCAGGGAAUAGCAAAGAAGGUACCUGAAAAAGAAGCCCCGGCUAACUACGUGCCAGCAGCCGCGGUAAUCCGUAGGGGGCAAGCGUUAACCGGAUUUACUGGGUGUAAAGGGAGCGUAGACGGAAAGGCAAGUCAGAAGUGAAAACCCAAGUCUUAACCAUGGGACUGCUUUUGAAACUGGCAAACUAGAGUACGGGAGAGGUAAGAGGAAUUCCUAGUGUAGCGGUGAAAUGCGUAGAUAUUAGGAGGAACACCAGUGGCGAAGGCGUCUUACUGGAACGAAACUGACGUUGAGGAUCGAAAGCGUGGGGAGCAAACAGGAUUAGAUACCCCUGUAGUC
rnacentral:rRNA from 1 species